rnacentral:rRNA from 1 species
GGUGAGUAAUGCAUAGGAAUCUGCCCGGUAGUGGGGGAUAACCUGGGGAAACUCAGGCUAAUACCGCAUACGCCCUACGGGGGAAAGCAGGGGAUCUUCGGACCUUGCGCUAUCGGAUGAGCCUAUGUCGGAUUAGCUUGUUGGUGAGGUAAUGGCUCACCAAGGCGACGAUCCGUAGCUGGUCUGAGAGGAUGAUCAGCCACAUCGGGACUGAGACACGGCCCGAACUCCUACGGGAGGCAGCAGUGGGGAAUAUUGGACAAUGGGCGAAAGCCUGAUCCAGCCAUGCCGCGUGUGUGAAGAAGGCUUUCGGGUUGUAAAGCACUUUCAGUGAGGAAGAAAGCCUUGGGGCUAAUACCCCCAAGGGACGACAUCACUCACAGAAGAAGCACCGGCUAACUCCGUGCCAGCAGCCGCGGUAAUACGGAGGGUGCGAGCGUUAAUCGGAAUUACUGGGCGUAAAGCGCGCGUAGGUGGCUUGAUAAGCCGGUUGUGAAAGCCCCGGGCUCAACCUGGGAACGGCAUCCGGAACUGUCAGGCUAGAGUGCAGGAGAGGAAGGUAGAAUUCCCGGUGUAGCGGUGAAAUGCGUAGAGAUCGGGAGGAAUACCAGUGGCGAAGGCGGCCUUCUGGACUGACACUGACACUGAGGUG